CGGGCCGGAGGCGGGCGCGCGGGGCCCGGGGAGAUGGCUGGGGUCUGGGGGGCCGAGGGUGUGUGUGGACGCUGGGAGCCGCGGGGGGAGGCCGGCGUCGACUCAGAGGAGUUGCAAUCGAGGUCCGGGAGUGGCGGCGGCCAAUCAGCGCGCGGCUUCCAUUUUACACGAAGGAGAGGCCAACAGAUGAGGGAAGCCAUUUUUCUGCAAUGGAAUUAAAUGGCCAAGCCCAAGGACUCACAGUUGGAAGACUGGAGAAGACUUUUUAAAAAGAUCUGGAUUUUUCCUUAUGACUUGGAAUCCAUCUUUGUCUUGUAUAACUAGGUCAUAGCACACCAUUCAUGUCAGCAGUUAACAGUUUUGAAUUCCAAAAAAACCUAAAGCAGUAAACAGUCCUCAGCGAAGCCGCCUUUUUGCCUACCCAACCCUGGAAAGUUUGCAGAAGUGGAAGGAGCAGAACGUGAGGGUGUAACUUACAAAAAGGUUCUGGGCCGGAGAAGGGGCGACGUUCGGGCACCCCCCGAAUGGACAAUCUUUCCUUCUGUCAACGGCAGGGGCAGGCCUAGUUUGACUCUGACAGUCCUCCCACUAAGGAAUUCCUGGUGACUGGAAGGGGGAGUGACUCAGGCCCUCAACCUCUAGCAGGUAAGGGAGCUACCUCCUGGGUGGGCAUGCCCAGUUCCUCAGUGGGCCCAGCGCGGCCCAGCCUCCGAGGAAGCUCUGAGCAGCUGGCUUGGCUCCGAGGUAUUUUUAGCUACAGAUCCAGCCCCCCUCCAUCACCACAACAGUCGAGUCCAAAUCAAACGCGCUCCAGGCAGGUGGGGCUGGGGUUCUGCCAGCCUCCUGGCCAGCAGGGGUGGGUGGGCAGACUGGGGCCAGUAUCAGCUGUUCUGCCUGGACCCAGGCCGGGCUGGGAAGGCACACUUGUGCUUAUUUCCCGCCUCCACUUCUGUGCAAGCUUGUGCUGUCAUAAGCAGAGAUCACAGCCCCAUUUCUUGGAUGGAGAAAGUGGACACUGAGGUCUGAGGCUUUUGAGGACAGUCAGGAGCCCUCCUAUGGGCUCCAGUGAUGCACUCACCAGCUUCUGGUCCUCUUCUUCCACCUCUUAGAGUGCCUUGGCUCCCUCCUGUCGUCCUGGGGAACCUCGGCCCCAGCCCUGCCUCCCCAGCCAGUCACAGCUCCUCCCUGGUCACCCUGAGGGAGCUCAGGGCCCGGCUGGUAGCUGGGUUGCUCUGCUUCUGUCCCCCACUCCUGUGGAGCCUGGCAGGCAACUCCAUGAUCUGACCCCGGUUACCUUGACAGCCCUGCCUGGCCUCCCCUCUCAUGGCCCAGCCACCCCAGAACCUGAAGAGGUUUUCUAGCUGCCGUGCAUUUGCCAGGCUGGGUUACCCACCCUACUUUCCCUGCCUGCCCUCCAGUGCUGCCAGGCCUAGUGUGCCAGCCAGCGCUCAGCCUUCAGUAAAGGGUUCCCCUGCUUCCAACCUCCAUUGCACUGCUUCCCCUAAGACUGUGACCUCCUGGAAGGCUGGAGCACAACUGCCUCUCAAUAAACGUGUUGCAAAAAAG
rnacentral:lncRNA from 1 species